AGCAUGGUGUAGCAAUACACUGAUGGCGACCGGCAAACGGGUGCGGAACACGUACGCAACCUUCCUUUAAGUGUGGGAUAGCCCGGGGAAACCCGGAUUAAUACCACGUAACAUCAUGAGACGGCAUCGUUUUAUGAUUAUAGUUCCGACGCUUAAAGAUGGGCGUGCGCCUGAUUAGGUAGUUGGCGGGGUAACGGCCCACCAAGCCUACGAUCAGUAACUGGUGUGAGAGCACGACCAGUCACACGGGCACUGAGACACGGGCCCGACUCCUACGGGAGGCAGCAGUAAGGAAUAUUGGUCAAUGGACGCAAGUCUGAACCAGCCAUGCCGCGUGGAGGAUGAAGGUCCUCUGGAUUGUAAACUUCUUUUAUUUGGGAAGAAACCCACUGAUUCUUCGGUGGUUGACGGUACCAAGUGAAUAAGCACCGGCUAACUCCGUGCCAGCAGCCGCGGUAAUACGGAGGGUGCAAGCGUUAUCCGGAUUCACUGGGUUUAAAGGGUGCGUAGGUGGGCUAGUAAGUCCGUGGUGAAAUCUCCGAGCUUAACUCGGAAACUGCCGUGGAUACUAUUAGUCUUGAAUAUCGUGGAGGUAAGCGGAAUAUGUCAUGUAGCGGUGAAAUGCUUAGAUAUGACAUAGAACACCGAUAGCGAAGGCAGCUUGCUACACGAUCAUUGACACUGAGGCACGAAAGCGUGGGGAUCAAACAGGAUUAGAUACCCUGGUAGUCCACGCCCUAAACGAUGGAUACUCGACAUACGCGAUACACAGUGUGUGUCUGAGCGAAAGCA
rnacentral:rRNA from 1 species